rnacentral:ncRNA from 2 species
AGCUGUGGCUAGGGGUCCGCAUUUGCAGUUUUCUGCAAAUGCCGGUGAGAGAGUCCCUUAAUACCUGAUGCGGAUAACGCCGCCGGAGGGAAGCCAGGAGUCACUCUC